CGGCCGGGCGCAGUGGCUCACGCCUGUAAUCCCAGCACUUUGGGAGGCCGAGGUGGGUGGAUCACGAGGUCAGGAGCUCGAGACCAUCCUGGCUAACACGGUGAAACCCCGUCUCUACUAAAAAUACAAAAAAAUUAGCCGGGCCUGGUGGCGGGCGCCUGUAGUUCCAGCUACUCGGUAGGCUGAGGCAGGAGAAUGGCGCGAACCCGGGAGGCGGAGCUUGCAGUGAGCCAACAUCGCGCCACUGCACUCCAGCCUGGGCGACAGAGCCAGAC
rnacentral:lncRNA from 1 species